CCCCUCCUAGUGCUGCUGGCUUCUCCUGAGCCCUUGCGUAUGGGUGGGAACCAGCGUCCAGUGCUGCGGAUUCCAUAGGCUUUACUUGGGUCCAGGGUUUUUAUAGUUGUAUUUACGUUUUCAAAAAAGCUCCAAAAUGUUUUAUCUGCCUUUUGAGGAAAACUAGUGGUAGUGAUAUUUUUUGGUGUCUGAUAUUGAAACUUGCCAUCCUGCCUAAGUCACCAACGUUAUUGUUCUCCGAGAGUUUGGAUGUGGUGGUGUCCCGUGUCACUUUUUUUCGGAUUAGUACUUAAAAUAUUAUUAAAAUUAAUACAUGCAUAAAGCUUAAAGAAGUGAACAGUAGAAAUGGUGUAAAAUGAAAAGUGUAAGUUGUCAUCCCUCCCUUCCACCUCUUAUUUCAAAUGUAGAUAUCUUUAUCUACCUCUUUUUCUUGUUUUGCCAACUCGAUAAAUUUAGGGUUUUUCGUAUCUCACACUGCCUCCUACGUUUUUUCUGUUUUUUUUUUCUUCUCUUAAUUCAUUCUUCAGUAAACACGGUGUCCUAGGUAUUAUAUUAGGCACAUAGUAAUGAACGAGUUUUAUGAGGCUGUCCCUCAUUGAAAAAAGGAGUGGUUUUAAAAAAAAAAUUCCUGUUUGGCAUGUCAUGUUUCCUUUUGGCACAAAGAAAUUCUCUUAUAUUCCCUCCCCGCCCCAUUUUUGUCUUGUCCCUUUUUCUCUGGAACUCCUGUGAUAGUUGUUGGACCUUCUGGAUUGAAUCUCUUCUCUUUUUCCCUCAUUUUACAUUCAUCUUUUUGUACGAUGUUCUUAGCGAUUUUACUCAAAUUUAUCUUCCAGAUUACUAAUUCAGAUUUAAGUCCUGUGCAUUGUUAGUCAUUUCUUCUAUUGAAUUGUAAAUUUUGACAACCUUUUUUUUCCCUUAAUUGCUCUUUUUAAUAGCAGCCUUUUUUAUUUUAUGGAUAUAAAAGUUCUUGAAUCUAUAAAAACAGUCAUCAAAA